GCUGGCGGUCUAUACAAGUCCACAGAGUUCGAUUUGCUUACUACGGGAGAGGAGAGAGAGAGAGAUAAGAGAUAAUCAGAGGAUGAGUGAGGAAAGCAGAAGAGUUGGCAAACAAACAAUCACAAAAACCAAAGCUUCGUGAAUGUCAACACUAUAGUGAGAGAGAAAGAGAGAGAGAGAGAGAGACAUCGCAACAAGUGAGCGUGCGCAGCCAGCCGCUCAGCUGAGCGACCGAACGAGCGUCUGUUAAUGAUGCAACAGCACCAAAAAUCCACUUGAGAAAGAGGGCGACCUUGAAUGAGCUGCGUGACCCGCUGCGCUGCCUUCGUACAGCGUCGUUUUCGACGUCGUUUGGCUAGCAUUUGGUUAUUUUUAGUUAAAUACAUAUGUAAUUGGGAUACCCUAGCUGGAGGCAAAGUUGCAUUUUUCUGUUAGAAGCAACAUAAUAUUGUAUACUCUGAGCCCAAGAAAACAUGUAAAAUGGGAAUUUUUUAAAUAACUAAUAUCUUUCACCAUAUAAUUCGAGUAAUUAAAUAUUGGAAUUAUCAAGUAAA